rnacentral:rRNA from 1 species
UAAGGGCGCACGGUGGAUGCCUUGGCACUAGAAGCCGAUGAAGGACGUUACUAACGACGAUAUGCUUUGGGGAGCUGUAAGUAAGCUUUGAUCCAGAGAUUUCCGAAUGGGGAAACCCAGCAUGAGUUAUGUCAUGUUAUCGAUAUGUGAAUACAUAGCAUAUCAGAAGGCACACCCGGAGAACUGAAACAUCUUAGUACCCGGAGGAAGAGAAAGAAAAUUCGAUUCCCUUAGUAGCGGCGAGCGAAACGGGAAGAGCCCAAACCAACAAGCUUGCUUGUUGGGGUUGUAGGACACUCUAUACGGAGUUACAAAGGA